rnacentral:rRNA from 1 species
UACGUAGGUGGCAAGCGUUGUCCGGAUUUACUGGGCGUAAAGAGCGCGCAGGCGGUCGUUCAAGUCGCGUGUGAAAGCCCCCGGCUCAACUGGGGAGGGUCACUCGAUACUGAUCGACUUGAAGGCAGGAGAGGGAAGCGGAAUUCCCGGUGUAGUGGUGAAAUGCGCAGAUAUCAGGAGGAACACCAGCGGCGAAGGCGGCGCUCUGGGCCGAUACUGACGCUGAGGAGCGAAAGCGUGGGGAGCGAACAGG